GGGUGACUGCGUACCUUUUGUAUAAUGGGUCAGCGACUUAUAUUCUGUAGCAAGGUUAACCGUAUAGGGGAGCCGCAGGGAAACCGAGUCUUAACUGGGCGUUAAGUUGCAGGGUAUAGACCCGAAACCCGGUGAUCUAGCCAUGGGCAGGUUGAAGGUUGGGUAACACUAACUGGAGGACCGAACCGACUAAUGUUGAAAAAUUAGCGGAUGACUUGUGGCUGGGGGUGAAAGGCCAAUCAAACCGGGAGAUAGCUGGUUCUCCCCGAAAGCUAUUUAGGUAGCGCCUCGUGAAUUCAUCUUCGGGGGUAGAGCACUGUUUCGGCUAGGGGGUCAUCCCGACUUACCAACCCGAUGCAAACUACGAAUACCGAAGAAUGUUAUCACGGGAGACACACGGCGGGUGCUAACGUCCGUCGUGAAGAGGGAAACAACCCAGACCGCCAGCUAAGGUCCCAAAGUCAUGGUUAAGUGGGAAACGAUGUGGGAAGGCCCAGACAGCCAGGAUGUUGGCUUAGAAGCAGCCAUCAUUUAAAGAAAGCGUAAUAGCUCACUGGUCGAGUCGGCCUGCGCGGAAGAUGUAACGGGGCUAAACCAUGCACCGAAGCUGCGGCAGCGACACUAUGUGUUGUUGGGUAGGGGAGCGUUCUGUAAGCCGUUGAAGGUGGCCUGUGAGGGUUGCUGGAGGUAUCAGAAGUGCGAAUGCUGACAUAAGUAACGAUAAUGCGGGUGAAAAACCCGCACGCCGGAAGACCAAGGGUUCCUGUCCAACGUUAAUCGGGGCAGGGUGAGUCGACCCCUAAGGCGAGGCCGAAAGGCGUAGUCGAUGGGAAACAGGUUAAUAUUCCUGUACUUGGUGUUACUGCGAAGGGGGGACGGAGAAGGCUAUGUUGGCCGGGCGACGGUUGUCCCGGUUUAAGCAUGUAGGCGGAUGUUCCAGGUAAAUCCGGAACGUCACUAACGCUGAGGUGUGAUGACGAGGCACUACGGUGCUGAAGUGACAAAUGCCCUGCUUCCAGGAAAAGCCUCUAAGCAUCAGGUAACAUCAAAUCGUACCCCAAACCGACACAGGUGGUCAGGUAGAGAAUACCAAGGCGCUUGAGAGAACUCGGGUGAAGGAACUAGGCAAAAUGGUGCCGUAACUUCGGGAGAAGGCACGCUGAUGGUA
rnacentral:rRNA from 1 species